AACAGAGUAGGAAAUAAAGCGUUAAGUGCUGAAAGGAUGGGAUGUUGCCUUUUGGACGAAGAAUAUAUGAGAGUAGUGAAAUAGUUUGAACAGUUCGUUCCGCUUUUCUUAUAUUCGCGGUUUUGUUUUCGCAUUCGCUGCA
rnacentral:ncRNA from 2 species